GAUGAACGCUGGCGGCGUGCCUAAUACAUGCAAGUCGAGCGCGCGGCGGACGGGUGAGUAACACGUGAUAACCUUCCUAUAAGACUGGGAUAAAUUCGGGAAACCGGAGCUAAUACCGUAUUCUUUUAGAUGGUUCGGUUCUGCAUUAGCUAGUUGGUAAGGUAACGGCUUACCAAGGCAACGAUGCAUAGCCGACCUGAGAGGAUGACCAGCCACACUGGAACUGAGACACGGUCCAGACUCCUACGGGAGGCAGCAGUGGGGAAUAUUGCACAAUGGGCGCAAGCCUGAUGCAGCCAUGCCGCGUGUGUGAAGAAGGCCUUCGGGUUGUAAAGCACUUUCAGCGAGGAGGCGUUACUCGCAGAAGAAGCACCGGCUAACUCCGUGCCAGCAGCCGCGGUAAUAC
rnacentral:rRNA from 1 species